rnacentral:lncRNA from 1 species
AUUUAUGGAAUCUUUCUGAAUUAGAAUUGAUAGAUGUGGAAGAUGGGGUUAAUGAUAAAGUAGUACAGCAAUUUCAAUCAAAUAGGAUAGUUUCAAUUAUGGAAAGUGAUGAUGAGUCUCUUGAUAUAUUAAAUAAAGAUUAUAUAGAUCCUAACAAAUUUGAUGAUGAUAUUGGAGGAUCCACACUAGCUAAUGUUCAAGAAUUUGAAGAUGAUAUUGGAGAAGAUGGCAGUGAUAGAGAAGACAUUGAUAGAGAUGAUAUAACUGAAGAGGA